AGUGAACGCUGGCGGCAGGCCUAAUACAUGCAAGUCGAACGGCAGCACAGCAGAGCUUGCUCUGUGGGUGGCGAGUGGCGGACGGGUGAGGGAUACGUGGGAAUCUGCCCAGUCGUGGGGGGAUAACGUAGGGAAACUUACGCUAAUACCGCAUGCGCCCUUCGGGGGAAAGCCGGGGACCUUCGGGCCUGGCGCGAUUGGAUGAGCCCACGUCGGAUUAGCUAGUUGGCGGGGUAAAGGCCCACCAAGGCGACGAUCCGUAGCUGGUCUGAGAGGAUGAUCAGCCACACUGGAACUGAGACACGGUCCAGACUCCUACGGGAGGCAGCAGUAGGGAAUAUUGGACAAUGGGCGCAAGCCUGAUCCAGCCAUGCCGCGUGAGUGAAGAAGGCCCUCGGGUUGUAAAGCUCUUUUGUCCGG
rnacentral:rRNA from 1 species